AUUACAAUACGUAAUAACAUUAAGUUCACGAAGGGGGCUGAGCUAAAAACUGUUUGUGUUAAGCACGUAUAUCUAUGUGUAGCAUUACAUACUAGUUAGCAAUUUUUAGGGGCGAAAGGCUUGUCAAGGCCCCAAAUAUCUUGAUAUACAAGAAAUAUAUUAAGUAUUUCGUCAACUAAAAAGUGAUAAGGUUUUUUAGAGAUAUAAUUUUGAGAUACUUAAUUAUAGAGAGCUUAACGGCUUGUGUAUUACAUAGUCUACUAUAAAUUUAUAUUAAUAUGUCAACUAUUGUAUUCUAUUGCCCAUCAAUUGUAAAUAUUUACAAUGUUAUUAUUAGUAUUUAAAUAAAUUUAGUUAAGGAACUCGGCAAACUUGUCUACUCAACUGUUUAUCAAAAACAUUGCUCUUUGUAUAUACAUAAAGGGUUUUUCCUGCUCAAUGGUAAGCUAAAUAGCCGCAGUACCUUGACUGUGCAAAGGUAGCAUAAUCAUUUGGCUUAUAAUUGAAGUCUAGUAUGAAGGGGAGAAUGGGUAGACACUGUCUCGCUAAAAUCAAUAAAAUUUACUUAAUAAGUGAAAAUUCUUAUAGCAACAGAAAAGACGAGAAGACCCUAGAAAUUUUUUACACUUAUAUAGUUAAUAUAAUCUAUUUUGUUGGGGCGACAGGGUAACAAAUAACUUACCUAAGAAAUGUGACCUAAAUGAAUGGUUUAAUUAAAUUACUCUAGGGAUAACAGCACAAUACAGGAGAGUUUGUGACCUCGAUGUUGGACUAGGACAAUUACCGUUUAAAAGACCGUAGUGUAGGCUCUGUUCGAGCCAUAACUCCUACAUGAUCUGAGUUCAGACCGG
rnacentral:rRNA from 1 species